UAUAUUUUUCAUAAUCAACUUUCAAACAACUACAUAGUAAUUCAAAGGAGUAAAAAAAGUUUUUUAUUUUUAUUAUUUAUAAUAAAAAAAUAUUUUUAUUAUUUAUUAAUUAUAAGACUGGUUGGACCGUGGUUGAUUUAGUAAACCGUUGAAGUAGUGAUUUAACCGUAACUAUGGUAAGAAGUGCGAAAAUGGAAAUAACAGCACUCUUCUCGCAAUAUAAAAAAAAAAGAUUCUAGGACAUUUUUGUCUUUCACAACUACUUUAGAGUUUCAUUGUUGUCCUUAAAGUUUCACAUGAUUUCCAAUUUAAUUCCCUCUAAUUUCAAUUUUCAACAUAAUACCAUGGAAGUUUUAAUAUUCAUAAAAGGACACAUGUCACAUCAAUGAAAUAUCAUAGUUGAAGGCAGAUCAAAGAAGAAAAUUAAGACCUAGGUAUUCAUGUUACUACGUAGUAGGAGUGUGCAUGAGUCGGGUCGAGUCAGGUCGGUAACAGAUUCAGAAUUGAUUUGACCUUGAUCGGUUAUCUAUUUUUAAACUCAGAAUUAACUCGACCAUCUAAAAAAAUCGAACUGAACCAACUCGAGUAAAAUCGGUUUGAUUCUCGAUUCUAUAUCUAUCGGGUCGGGUCUGCCGAUUUAUUUAAAGUUUAAAAAAAAAAUAAGAUGGCACUAAAAAAUAAAUAUAACCCUUACACAAUAAUACAUUAUUUAAAAUAAUACAAACCAAUAUCUAACACACAAAAGUCUCCAAUAAAUGCAUUGCAUGACUAUAUGAUCAGGUCUAGAUUUUGAUUAUCGAGUUGGACCUGUUCGGAUCGGGUCGGAUCUCGGUCCAAAAAUAAUAUAGACCCAAAAUCGAAUCAUGAGCAUGAUAAAACGGAACCAACACCACCCAAUGAGGUCAGGUUGGUUCGGGUCUCGGGUCUCUCGAGUCUUUUGUGCACCCCUACUACAUAGCAUAUGUAAAGUGUCACAGCAAAUAGUUUCCCAAACUUACGUUCAGACUUAUUAUAUUUUUAAAAAAAUAUAUAUUUACAAUCAUCCGUUUUGAAUUCUUUUUGACGUUGAAGGGGAUUGACUACUUUAAUUGCCUUUUAGUUUUGUUAUUUUUUUAAUUAAGAACUACUAUUUUUAUUAUUUAUGCUUUUGUUAUUGGGUUUUGUUUAACAUUUUCAAAUAAAAAUUAUUUAAAUAAUAAUAUAUCGCUGAUAGAGGUAUAAUUUAUAUUUUAGUGAGAGGUAAAAUUGGAAUAAAAUAUACCUCAAUGAACAUUGAGUUUCUUCAAACAAGUUAACAAAAUAAGACUUGUAGUUUGAAGGGAAUUUUCUUUGGAACUUGUCCAUAUUUCAAUUAUGGGUAAUUUUUUCAAGGGGAAUUUCACCGUGGUCUUGCAGUUGGACCAAAUUUUCACCUUAGUUCUUAUAGUUUUUAUUUGAAUAAUUAGAAAUUUGAAUUUUUGGACGCUUUGGUUAAUGGGGUCCUCCUAUUAAUAAUUGUUAAAAAUUUGAAUGAAAAGUGAAUAAGUGAAGACGAAUCGUAAAUAACGAUUUUGACAUUUUUCUAGAUCAAACAGUGAACAUUUGUACACUGAAUCGUGAAUAUUAGUGAAUCAAAUAGCGAACAACUAAUAUAUAACCGAAUAAGUAUGCAAAAUGAACACAUAUUACUUAACCAAAACGAUCGAAUGUGAACAUUAGUGAAUUGAACCAAAUCGAAUCGUGAAUAUUAAUGCACCAAAUCGAACUACAUGUGAACAUUAGUGAAUUGACCCGAACCGAAUCAUGAAUAUUAAUGAGCCAAAUCAAAAUCGUGAAUAACUGAUAAUUCACGGUUCGAUUCAGAUAAACUUUGCAGUUCGGAUUAAAAAAUCGCAAAACAAACAUUGAGUUAUCGAUUCGAUUUUUUUGAACUGUGGAUCAACAGAAUUGUUAGUAUUUUUACCACCAGCAUUUUAGUUUGGCUAAAGUUCGUUUUGAUCAUUGAAAAUAGUCACGUGAGCUUUUACAUACAAUAUUUCCUUCUAAUUUAUUAAUAGGUAUUGACGUAAUUUUCAUGUUAAACUAAAAUUGAAACUUCAACGUUCAAAUCGUUUAAAUGAAAGCUAUAAAUUAAAUUUUAUACAAAAUGCAACGUAAAUAUGAAGUUUAUGCACAUCUAAUCAACAUUUUCCGUAUCAUGGAUUUAUUGAGAAAAUCAAAAAACUUAGCUAAUUAUUUUUAAUAAAUUUAUUAUAUAUCAAUAAAUAAUUGAAUAUACGUAUACUCUUUAUUUCCGUUGGGACUGAGUUACGGUAAGCGUAACUGCUCUGAGGCUGGUUCAGACUUCAAAAGGAUGUGAUGACGUGGAUCGGGUUGGGGUCUGUUACAGCUUACGUGUUUUGACUGUCGUUUUAGCCAAUUGUACCUAUUCUGGGAGGCAGCAACACCCUCAUGUUUCCAUUUAUCUGACAUCAUUUCCCAUCACUCACACCCACCUUGUAUUGGGUGUGUCCAAUUUUAU
rnacentral:lncRNA from 1 species